rnacentral:rRNA from 1 species
UACAGGGGGUGCAAACGUUGCUCGGAAUCAUUGGGCGUAAAGCGCACGUAGGCGGUUCGUUAUGUCGGAUGUGAAAGCCCUUGGCUUAACCGAGGAAGUGCAUCCGAAACUGGCGAGCUAGAGUACGAAAGAGGAUCGCGGAAUUCCCGGUGUAGAGGUGAGAUUCGUAGAUAUCGGGGAGGAACACCGGUGGCGAAGGCGGCGAUCUGGGUCGAUACUGACGCUGAGGUGCGAAAGCGUGGGGAGCAAACAGG